rnacentral:rRNA from 1 species
GCAGACUCGGGGCCGGCGUGGCGUGUAAGAGGUGUGGUGCUGGCGUGUGGCGGAAUUACUGGUCGGAAAGAGCUCGUAGGCGGGUUGUCGCGUCGUCUGUGAAAGUCUUGAGCUGAACUGGAGGCGGGCAGGCGAUACGGGCAGACUUGAGUACUACAGGGGAGACUGGAAUUCCUGGUGUAGCGGUGAAAUGCGCAGAUAUCAGGGGGAACACCGGUGGCGAAGGCGGGUCUCUGGGUAGUAACUGACGCUGAGGAGCGAAAGCGUGGGUAGCGAACAGGAUUAGAUACCCCGGUAGUC